UGAAGAAAUUUUAAAACCUAUAUGAAUUUCAAAUUAAAUUAAUGGCUGGAGCAAGAAGAAGACAUUAUUUUUGUCUUAUCGCCAAGCACCGUUUUACAAUAUAUAUUUUUCAGAAAAUUUUUUCCAAGAGUAUAAAGAGUAAACUAAGAACGAAUAAGAAGAAUAAAAUAGAUGUUUACAAAAUUUUUAUAUUAAAAUAAGAUCGUCUUACCAGGUAAUACCGUGAAAAUAAAUUGGAUAAAACAAAAAAAUAAUAAUAAUAAAAUAAAAAUAAAAAGAAAUAAAUAAAAGGAACUAAAUAGUUGAUGUAGUGACCUAGAUGAUUUUAUUUUAUUGAUCUAUUUUGAAAGAAACAAGAUAAAUCAAAAUCUGCGUGUAAUAAACACGAAUAAAAACUUUGAUUAAAUUUUAAACUUAUUAAGUAAAAAAUUUCACAACAACGACACGCAAUUCUGAAUUGAGUAAGAACUCAGUUUUGAGUGAGAUUUUGUUGUUUUCGGAAAUUCUUGUAAAAUACCUGUAACAUAUUUCUUUAAAAAGAGUUUUAAAUUUUUUUGGAGGCAAUCCUUAUUUUAAUUUAUACAAUAAGUGUAAAACUACAUGAAUGUUAAGUUUGAGAAUAUUUAUAGCACUAACUCUUUUUAAUGGUGUCUAUCGUUAACAAUGAUUAUGUGGUAGUUUAAAUACUGAAACUCGCGGCUUCUUACAGUUCAAUUAAAGCCAAGAAAGUUUUAGAAUAAAAACAUAAUUUUUAUAUUAUUGUCAUUUUUUAUCUUCAGCAAUGUAAAUAGUUCACUAAAACAAUCUUAUAAAAGUUUCUGCUUUUAUGAAUGAUAAUACUGUUAUUAGUAUUAAAUAUUUCGGGAAUUUUUCUAUAACCGUUAGAUCACACUGUAAAUCAAGUCAAAUGUGAUAACGACUCAAAAGUUAUUGCGCCCGAUCGGUUUGUAUCAAUAUGCCCAACUGGUUAAUGUAGUCCAUUUGUAGCAUUUUACUGACAAUCUGUUAAGUAUUCAAUAAUUAUAAAAUUGUAUGUAAAUUGGAUUCCACGAUUCCUUUAUUCAUAUUUGCAUGAAGUAAUAAAUAAGAUCACCCUUAAUUUUAUUCUUUAAAAACAAGUUAAUACGUUAAAAUCAUUGUCUUAAUACCCAGCAAACAUUCUAUGGCGGAAUUUCAGUCGACCUAUAUAGAUAUUUUCAGCGGUUCAAUGUAGUUUUGCUCGUCAGUUACUUAGUAGACCGUUUGUGGCAGCCGCCAUUAACGGUCUUAAAAUCUACUAAAAUAAUGUUAUCACGUAAAAUAAAUUAUUCCAGAGAACCCUGACAGAUUUUUUUUUAAAAGGCACUUACUUCUUUUAAAAAAUUAUCUUUUUAAUUAAAAACAUUUUCGUCUAUUUUUAAGUUUUUUUUUCCAUAAUCCAUAAAUUUUUGAAGAAGUGGAAGCAAGUAGUUUUUGGUAAUGAAAGUAACUUUGAAGUAAUAAAUAAAAAAGUAAAGUUCUUGUUAAACGAUUUAAAUCGAAAAAGUAUACUGAUUGCUAAUUUUUACCGAGGUUCAAAAGUUACGGCAAAGUGCUGGUGUUUGGGACUGCUUUAAUUUAAACGGAGUAGAAGUGUGUAACAUUUAUACAGGCCGAAUCAACCAAAAUACAUAUAUAGAGACGCUAGAGAACUGCAAGGUCCAUCAGUGCACAUGCUGAUUGAUCGAAACAAAUGGUGGCAAUUUCAACAAGAUUUGGCGCCUACCCACACAGAAAAAAAAUUAAGUAAAUUUAUUGGCCUGGCGAGCUCAAUCAUUAGAUUUGAAUCCAAUCUAAUCUAUUUGGGCUUAGAUCGAAAAAGAAUUAGUCAAGGUGCAAAUACAAUCCAUAAAUAGCCUAAAGUAAGAGUUAGAUACCACUUGGAGAAGAGUUCCAAACAAAAUCUGCAAACAUCUUGUAAAAUCAAUGCAAAAAGCAUGUGCUGCUUGCAAAAAAGCUAGAGGGAUAUUUUAAAUACUAGCUUUGAUGUUAUUUUUGUUGAUUUAAUUUUUUAUAUAACUUUUCUUGAUAUUUUUUGUUAUCAUAUUUGAUAACGUUUUUAUGUACAAUUUUAUGUUUGAGUAUGCCAUCCAAGAUGCAAGAUUUGAUUAAAAUUAUUCAA